UACGUAGGGUGCAAGCGUUGUCCGGAAUUAUUGGGCGUAAAGAGCUCGUAGGUGGCCUGUCGCGUCGGCUGUGAAAACUCGGGGCUCAACUCCGAGCUUGCAGUCGAUACGGGCAGGCUAGAGUUCGGCAGGGGAGACUGGAAUUCCUGGUGUAGCGGUGAAGUGCGCAGAUAUCAGGAGGAACACCGGUGGCGAAGGCGGGUCUCUGGGCCGAUACUGACACUGAGGAGCGAAAGCGUGGGGAGCGAACAGG
rnacentral:rRNA from 1 species